UACGGAGGGUGCAAGCAUUGAUCGGAAUUACUGGGCGUAAAGGGCGCGUAGGCGGCUAGAAAAGUCGGAUGUGAAAUUCCGGGGCUCAACCCCGGAGCUGCAUUUGAAACUCUCUAGCUAGAGUACAGUUAGGGUAAACGGAAUUCCACGUGUAGCGGUGAAAUGCGUAGAUAUGUGGAAGAACACCGGUGGUGAAGACGGUUUACUGGGCUGUAACUGACGCUGAGGCGCGAAAGCAUGGGGAGCAAACAGG
rnacentral:rRNA from 1 species